UCCUGUUCUGAAGGGGGGGGGGUCCUGUCCUGAAGGGGUGAGAGUCCUGUCCUGUUCUGAAGGGGGGGAAGUCCUGAAUGGCCCAGGUCCACCUCCGCAUUGCAGAGUCACCAGGUGCUCAGUGCCCUGCUAAUGACUCAUAAACACCUAUAAACUUCUAGUUCAGCCCAGGAUACAAACAGUACACGAGAAAACCAGGGCUUCACUCCUCAUUAUAUAUAAAUUACCCCAAUGUGUGCUGCCUGGCCCCACUUUUUCUGGGGACUUGUGUCUUUUGCCUCCUGCCUACCCCGUCAAAUGUUGCUUGGAGGUAGGGGUAACAGAUUCUGUUUAGCUCAGGCUUUUACCAACUGCACAGCAAGGCCCUGUUCCGGCAGAUCCUACCGGUGACUGUCCCCCUUCACCCCGGACACAAGCCAAGUAACUCCCUGAAGCAAGAGCAACGGCCAGGAUGGAGGGUGAGCAAUAAGCGCUACGGGAACAAGCUAUGUGGGUACUACAGGUGCCGAGCAUAUUAAGAAGACUAUUUUUGGAAGCAAUGUCUGCUGCCCAAGGCUUCAUCCACAGAGCUCCGCGGGCCAAAGUAGAAUAAGAAGUAGUUCUAGCAAGAAAAUCAAUAUUGGUUUAUGCUGCAUCUGUAAGAAAAUCUGGCUAAUGAAAGUAUUGGGACCUUCAUCUGCUGAACCCUCUGAAGAAACGUCCUCAAACACUGACUCCACUUCAGAGGAUGUCCCCUGAUUAUGUGAAUGCUUAAAGAAUCAAAGAUCUCUUGCAUACCUCCUUUCAUCCAGGUAACAAAAUCUUGCAUGGAAGGCACAGGUAUUUUAAUUUUAUCAGCACAAGAUUUGCAUAGUUUUUCAUUUUCCAAAGAAAUAAACACUCCAUCACAGCCUGCACAAUUUACAGGGUGCUGUUUCUUUAAAUCCUUCAUGUGGAAGGCACAGGUAUUUUAAAGUUAUCAGCACAAGGUUUGCAUAGUUUUUAAUUUUCCAAAGAAAUAAACACUCCAUCACAGCCUGCACAAUUUACAGGGUGCUGUUUCUUUAAAUCCUUCAUGUGCUCUUUUUUGCUACUUUCUGAAGGCAUGUCAUUUGAUCUUGGCUUGUCUUAAAGAGGACCUGUCACCUUGAGACAUGAGUAAUAUAUAGCUUUCCCUCCUUAUUUAAACCCUUUAGUCAGCUGUUUUUGUCUAUAUCCGAAACAGAUCAGAAAAUAUCCUAUAUGUAAAAAGUGUUUCAUAGGCGCUGCCAUCUUGAAACAGGACCCCUUUGUGUUUUGUGUGUGGGCUGAGCCAAACUGCCAAAUCUCAUGCAUGCCUAGUCAUAGAGUAUACUCUUUGAUAGAAAAAUGUAGGGCUAUGGCGAGAAUGCCCACUUUAAAGAGCAUUCUUUUGGUUGAUCAAUAUAUGCCUCAGCACAAAUAAGACAUAAAUUAGUGCUUAUGUUUUGUUGUGUUGUGUACAUUUUUUCUGCAGGUAUAUUAUGAAGUGAGACAGUAGCACUUGUAUUGUAGCUAAAGUGACUACUGGUAGCUGUCCAACUACGAAUAUUAAUAAUAACUAGGAGCAGCUGGAAAAUGAGAGGAGAAAUGUAGGUAUUUAUUCCCAAAACCAAAUAUAGUGUAAGACCUGAAAUAAUGCAGAAUCAAGCCUCAUCAAGCCUUUUCUAAAUAAUCAUCAGAUGAUCCCUCAAACCAGUGGAAGGCAGAAUCUUCAGUUAAUGAAAACGUAUAUAUUUUCUUAUUUUCAUUUGCCUGUGACUGCAUGUGGGGGGUUGGUUACUUAUGGAGUUGCACCUUUAAGGCAGGUCAACAGAACUCACACACACAAACUCAGACUCAGGCACACACUCAGACACACACACAUUCACAGACUCAGGGAUACACACACUCACAGACUCAGGGAUACACACUCAAACACAGACUCAGGGACACACAGAGAUACACACAGAAAUGCACAUCACAGGCACAUGUUUCACAAAAGACUGACCAUUAAAUCAAGGUGAACAGUCACUAACAGAGAGCUCUAACAUAAAUAAACUAAGUAUGCUUCAGUCUGUCCUGCACGCCGAAUACAGCACGAGUCCGUGCG